GCCUCAAAGCUAGCUCUAACUCUUUAGCAAAAUUAAUAAUUUAACUAGCUACGCAACUACAAUGAAAGAGAAACCAAAUCAUUUGACCUU
rnacentral:rRNA from 1 species